AUCAAGAGAUUCCAAUCCUACCAUUUGAAACUUGAUCUCUAGCCUCCCCAGGUUACUUUCCACCAAAUAAAUCUCUCCUACCCAUGUCAAAUUUGUGAGAGAUUGAUUGGGUGUUGAGGAGACUAUCUUUAGAAGCACAAGAGCAAGGAGGUCAUCGUUCUACCACAUGUAUUACCUUUUCCUAGAUUGGUUAGGCAUCACUUGGGUGAAUUUUGUAAGGGUAAGGAGGCCGCCUACUUCGUGAAGAUCUAUCGAAACCAUACCAAAAAUCGCCAUGUCAACCUCUUUGCGUUUGAUCUCCUAAACUCUACUCCUUACUACAUGUGCAAAGGCUUUACUUUCCGUCGCCAUAUGUUGACUAGCAUAUGUAGGGCGCACUAGAAUUGCUAAAAUUUGCCAACCAUAAAAUUGAAAAAUGCUAGUUUUUUAAAUCUUAUCAAGUAGUCUAUUCAC
rnacentral:lncRNA from 1 species